GAGGGUAUAGCUCAGUUGCAGAGCACAGUCUUAGCAUGCAUGAGUCCUGGGUUCAAUCCCCAGUACCUCCA
rnacentral:tRNA from 1 species